UACGUAGGGUGCGAGCGUUGUCCGGAAUUACUGGGCGUAAAGCGCACGUAGGCGGCUUUGUAAGUUAGAGGUGAAAGCCCGGGGCUCAACCCCGGAAUUGCCUUUAAGACUGCAUCGCUAGAAUUGUGGAGAGGUGAGUGGAAUUCCGAGUGUAGAGGUGAAAUUCGUAGAUAUUCGGAAGAACACCAGUGGCGAAGGCGACUCACUGGACACAUAUUGACGCUGAGGUGCGAAAGCGUGGGGAGCAAACAGG
rnacentral:rRNA from 1 species